UCGGAGUUAACACUAUAACAAAAUCCCAAUUCUUUGUUCUGAUUCAUUUCUGAGAAUAUUGAAUAGUGAGGACGAAACGUAAUUACAGGUAAUUGUAUUUGGACAUGGGAAUGCAUGGAAACCGCACAGGAUUAUUGGGAGGAGUUUGUUGUUUUCUUUGAUCUCACAGCAGCAAUUGUGAGUUAUGAAUAGUAUUAAUCACACAGAGUUAAUGGCAAAGAUGGGCUCG
rnacentral:lncRNA from 1 species